UACGGGGGGGGCAAGUGUUGUUCGGAAUUACUGGGCGUAAAGGGCUCGUAGGCGGCCAACUAAGUCGGAUGUGAAAUCCCCAGGCUUAACCUGGGAACUGCAUCCGAUACUGGAUGGCUUGAAUCCGGGAGAGGGAUGCAGAAUUCCAGGUGUAGCGGUGAAAUGCGUAGAUAUCUGGAGGAAUACCGGUGGCGAAGGCGGCAUCCUGGACCGGCAUUGACGCUGAUGAGCGAAAGCUAGGGGAGCAAACGGG
rnacentral:rRNA from 1 species